CAGUUACAAUGGCGUGUGGGGGUGAGGCAGAAGAGCAAUUAAGAUGGCAGGAUGGGUGAGAGGCAUUCACAUCAUCAUAAGAACAGUUAAGAUGGCAGGGUUGGGUGAGGGGCUUGUCUAGGGAAGCUCCACUGGGCAAUCAGGGACAGUGGCGAAUGCAGGUGGGGGGUGGGAGACAAUCACCUGAGGCAGGCAGGACCUUAGACUUUCAGGCUCCAGGCUUGCAUAUGGAGACCUGACACUCAUUAGAUUGUAUGUCUCAUAAUAGCUACAAUGGCCCAUGGUAGACCAAGAAUAUUUAUUAACUAAAUGAAUAAAUGUCAUCUUUUUAGUUCAUAAUUCCCACAAAGUAGUUAUCUAGAUGAGCAUGAACUGCUUCAGAAUCCCCUAAUGUUGCCCUCUUUGUCUUUGGACUUCAAUAGAAAAGUCUUCAGUUAUUUUUCACAUCAAAUUUUCCAUAACUCAAUUAUGAUACGGUCAUGUCUUACUAAAUGAUAGGGAUAUGUUCUGAAAAACAUGUUUUUAGGCAUUUUCAUCAUUGUGCGAAUGUUGCAGAGUAUACUUACAUUACCUUGUGAUGUCAUACUCUACUACACACCUAGGCUCUGUAGUAUAGCCUGUUGUUCCUGGGCUACAAACCUAUACAGCAUGUUAUUUUGGUCCAUUGAAAGACAACGGUAAAUAUUUGUGUAUCUAGACAUAGAAAAAGUACAGUAAAACUACCAUAUGGUCGUCUUAUGGAAUCACCAUCAUAUAUGCAGAUUGUCAUUGACUGAAAGGUUGUUAUGUGGCACAUGACUCUACAAAGUCUUCUGGAUUUGUUAGCAUUUCUGACUAACUUGAUUCUGCUAUAGGUACACCAAACUUAAAGCUUUUGUUUAAUUAAAUGUGAAUGACAUUUGAAUUACUUAUAACCAGUAAAAUGAUUUAUAGUUUUCAGAUAACCCCGAAAGCUUAGCACUUCAAAAUGCAGAUGGUCCCUGAAUUCUGAUGGUUCAGUUUAGGAUUACUCAACUUUAAGAUGGGGUUACAGUUUCUAUCGAAUGUGUUUGGCUUUCUCACUAUCCUGAAGUUGAAAAAUCCUAAGUUGAAUGAUUGUAAUUUGGAGACUAUCUGCUGUGUUGCCAGCAUUACAUACAUUUUUGACUUACAAUAUUUACAACUAACAGUGGGUUUAUUGGGAUGUAAGAAUAGCCCAAAAAAGUAUCUGAGACAGGUCUUAAUCAGUUUAGUUUAUUUUGCCAAGGUUAGGGACAUGCGUGGAGGAAAUAAACAUGUAACCACAGAAACAGUAUAUGGUCUGUAACUUUCUCCAAAGAUGAUUUUGAGGGCUUCAAUAUUUAAAGGGGAAAAGUGGGCUGGAGGGGAAAGAGGCAGGGAACUAUUAUCCAUAUGUUGAAAGAGAAAAGGCACAUUCCUCUCAGCCUCAGUGAAUGGGCACUU